UCUGGAUACGAAAUUAGUUUCCUACUAAAACUUAUCAUUAGAAUAUCAAAUUAUCUUCAGAUUAAAUUUCUCUUAAUUUUCAUUAAUGAAAAGUGCUCAUUCUGCCGAAAACUCAUUAUUAUCUUCGACACUUCACUAACUAGUAAAACGUAGUUCAAUGGCGUGCAGUUUAUUUCGUUCCCACCGUGAAGUGUAUUCGAGAAUCAGGUCCUUUAUCUCAAAAAGUGGAAGAAAACGAUAACAUGAACACAGCAAGCACUUUGUCAAAAAUGCGAGUUUUCCGAUUGUGGUUUUAUGGUUUUUCCCGCUUAUUAAACAAACCUUUCGUGUAUUGUGCAGUAAAGUUCUAUUCGCCUACAGAAGAGGAACAAUUCGAUGCAGCGAAACUGUUUCACGCUUUUCUUUGGUCCAAGUGAUUCCAGAUGCCGCUGAAUUACAAGAAGAGGAUGGGCAGACAACGUUGGAGGAAGGAGGAACUCGAAAUAGGAACGCAGGCCAUCAAGAACGGAUUUUCUUUGACCAAGCAUCGCAAGUGUUUGAAAAGGCUCAAACAACAGUGAAAAGAUCCAUGCAGAAUUCGAGAUGGUUUCAAUCCAACUUUUCUGGUCUGGAAUCUGGCCAAGACACUUGGUACCAAUCCAAGAAAAAUUGUUACUGAUUGUAGCAUUAUCCCAAAAUACUUUACAUAGCCAUAAGUAUGUUUUUUCGAUGAAACACACACUGGACCAAAUCACCCCACAGACAGUCCACAUCACUCCGCAUCAAAUUUUAAUGUCCAAAAAUCAAUCAUCUCUUUUAUUUUAUGAUAUAUGUGGUAAUUUGAAGCUCGAUAUAAUGAUUAAAUAUUAUUGAUUGAGAGAAAACAAGUGUAGCUCAGUAUACAAUGUGACAUUUUUUAUUUAGACCGUAUUGGUUUGCAAAUAUUAGGCGAUUUGCUUAGGGGGUCCAAAUUCCCCCCACUUUCCCUAAUAAAUCAUUCGCUGAUUAUAAUAAUAUCGAUAAAAACAGAAAGUCUAUAGUUUACUACGUAAUACUCGUACAAUGUUGUUACACAAGCAAUCAAAUGAUCAAGAUGUUUUCCUUAUCUUAUAAAUAUUUAUGUACGUUUGGCAUAAACAAAAUAAACCACAUGUUUGUUUAAGCAAUAAAAAGGCACUCUGAUUUGGGAUGUUUAGUUUACACGAACGGUACAUCAGGUAUCACUGAGAGCACUGAACAACUUAAUGCAAUAUUGGCUGUCACAAGAGCGAUCUUUUCAAUAUAUCACUUUGCUGGGUUAUAUACACCGGAAAUUGUAUUAGGACUGUUUCCUUGUUCUUGCAUUAUUAUUCACAGGAAAAUCUCAGCUACAUACUUGUACAAUCGGCCGUAUCUAUUUACACUCAUAUGGAACCAGUAAAAAUUGUACAUGGAACAAUAACAUCAGUAGAUUACAAAAUCUGCGAACUACGAAUAUCCUGCCGAACCGUCCAGUAAUUACAGCACAUAAAUUACCACUCAAACAAUUUGCUUUGAUUGGUGGUUGUUCACGCAAAUUCCUUCCUUGUUCACCACCCGCACCAUUCAGAAAUCUGAAACAGACUAAAUUCAUCAUUCCUGUCUGGAACUGUUAGAUCCUUUCAACUUUCACUUCUAUAAUAUAUACAAGAACGAAAGAUUUCCUCGUGCAGAAGAAAAUGGGAGAUAAACGAAAUGGAGAGCGGAAGCAACUUUCAUGAUAUCAUACGACUCUCAAUUUUCUCAAACCCAACCUUAUGGUAGGUUUUUCAGAGUAGUGUGAAAAAUGCAACAGGUGAUGAAGCACUAUCAUUCGCCUUAUCUUUAGUACAUGCAUUUUACACAGUACAAUUUAGGGGCUGUCUACAUACCACGUGGACAGAAAAAGCAUGAUUUUAGACACCCCCCUCCCCCUCCGUGGACAAGCGUGGACA